GAUGAAAAUUUGUGCUUUUAUUGAUUUCAAGGAUGAAAUGUGAGCAUACCAAGGCCAACAGUAGCUACAUGGGUUACGAUUUCUUGGUAAAAUCAUGUCUGUAGAGAGAGAUAAUGAAAGAGAGAGGUUAGGAAGGAUGCUGCCUCUAUAAUUCUCAUGCCAUCUUGACUAUGUUUUACUCUGUGCUUUUGGUUUUGUGGAUUUAUGAUUUUUGUCCUUUUUCAUAUUGAUUCUGCCGUUCGUUCUUCAAGUUCUAGCUGAAUUCUUGUAGUCUGCCUGUGUUUGCACACCUCUAAUUUCUGGAAGCUGUUUGGUUUGCUUGAGUGAAUACGUGCGGUAUGGAAGCUAGCAAAUUAUAUUAAUUUGUUUAAUACUUUCCACUAUGUAGCAAACUAGAACCAGUGCAUUUUGGAUACCAAAAAUAAUGUAGUGGAUAGAUAGAUAGUGUAUUUCUUUUGUUUUCUUAAAGCUGUCAACAAAAGAAAGCUUCGAUGUUUGUAUGCUACAAGAAUCAUUUUGUCUGAAAUUAAUUAUUUGGGAUCUAACAUUUUGUGUAUACCCUGAAGUUUAUCUCCAACCGAAGAAAAUGAAUCUGGUACUUUUCUAAGAGUUCAUUAUGGGAGAAAUGGAUCUGUCGGUGGCUAAAAAGUCCGGGGUCACAGCGAGUACUAGAAAGGGAGUGUGACAUUUGUGCACAAAUGAAAGAAAUUAUUUUAACAUGCUUAGAAGUUCUUUCAAUUUAAAACCUUCUAAAUUAUAUCAAUUAUGAUUGGAUAAAUUGCUAUUUACGAAAAUAUGAAAUGUUUCAGAAAAUUCUUGCCCACUGAGUACAUUAGUACUUAGCCCAAAAAUACUUUCAAA